ACGGAAUAGCCAUUAGAAAUGGUGGGUAAUACUGUAUAAUCCCCGAGGGGGAAAGAUUUAUCGCUAUUAGAUGAGCCUACGUUAGAUUAGCUAGUUGGUGAGGUAAUGGCUUACCAAGGCUAUGAUCUAUAGCUGGUCUGAGAGGACGAUCAGCCACACUGGAACUGAGAUACGGUCCAGACUCCUACGGGAGGCAGCAGUGGGGAAUAUUGGACAAUGGGCGAAAGCCUGAUCCAGCUAUGCCGCGUGAGUGAAGAAGGCCUUCGGGUUGUAAAACUCUUUCAAUAGGGAAGAUAAUGACG
rnacentral:rRNA from 1 species